GUCCAACCCCUCCCAUCUGGAACAUCUGGACCUGAGAGGAAACAACCUGCGGUAUUCAUCAGUGAAACAUCUGUUAGAUCUUGUGGAGAGUCCAGACUGCAUCCUGAAGACUCUGAGCUGGAAGGGGUUGUGCUGAUCAGGACGGUGUUUGUGGUGAGAGGAUGAAGUGUGUCCUGAUGAUCCAGAGGUUGAAGCAGCAGCAGCUGGUGUGUAGAGACUCUGACUGGACCAUGUUACUGGGAGGUGGACUGGGAACCAGUGUAAAGUGUGUUGUUAUCACUGUGUAGUUUAGUGUUGCAGCUCCACACUGUGAAUGAUGGAGAACUGCAGUUAAUGUUGACAUGAAACGUUGGAGGUUGAUGUCAGGUUGCAGAGUGUGCAGUAAGUUUCAGGAUGUUUGUGUCGGUGCAGGAUUCUAUUUCAGUUGACUUUCUAUUUCCAGCUGCAGUCAAAGUUGUUGAGCUUCUCUACCUGCAACACAUUGAGCUGAUGAGAACAAAGUGUCCUGGAAACAUGUCAGCUGAAGCCUUGGAGCCCAGAGAGAGUUUAAUGAAGCACAUUUUACUGGGUUUUGAUCACAUCAUGAGGAGGAGACAAACAGCUCUGAAGAUGAAUCCAGUUUAGUCCUCAAAGGUCCAGAAGCAGCUUGUUGAGCUCAGAGUUCAUAUUUAAUGUCAACAUCCUUUGACCUUUCUGAGCUCCACUAAAUGUUUCUUCUAGUUUCUCUCUUCUUCACCUUCACUCGGUUCCUCGUGUUCAGAAGCUUCCAGAUCACUGAUAUUCUUUGUUUUCUGAGCUGCUGCUUUCUUUAAAUCCCUCCAAAGAUUUUAACUGGGAUUAAAUCCAGGACUGAGACGAACCUCCAGGACUUUCCAGGAAGGAUUCCUGAAGCAGGCUUUGGUGGACGUUUGCUUUGGAUGCUGGUCCUGCUGAAAGUCCAGUGAGCUUCAGUUUCCUCACAUUGUUCUUGUAACUGUCCUGGUGUUUGAGAGAAUCCAUGCUGCUGCUCACACGUUCCAGUUUAGCAGCUUCAGAGCCACCAACAGGACUGUUGAUGCUGUUCUUCUGGUCCUUCUGCCUCCAGACGUUCUGCCCAAACAGUCCACUUUAGUCUCAUCAGUCCAUCAGACUCCCAGAACUCUGCUUUGUUCCACACAUGAAGAUCUUGUUGUUCAGUGUUGUCAGACUUUAGUUUCUGCCUUCAUCGGGUCCUGCAGCUCUUCACCAAUAAAACAGGUUUUCUACCAGCUGCUGCUGUCAAACAUCUGCUUCCUCUUGGACAGAUUUUGUCCAGUUUGAUUCAUUGACUCAGUUCAUCCACAUGAGAUUUCUCCUGGUCCUUUCUUCAGAUGAGCCAGAAAAUCUUCAAGUCUUCAUCAACACUCAGUCUCCUGGUGAACUCCAAGUAUUUUCUAUCCUCAGACUUAAUAAAGAACAAAACACCAACGUCACACUCCAAGUCAGUCAGAGUCAGAUGAAGUCUGAGAUUUCCUGUCAUUUCAGCUCCAUGCAGCAAACAGAGGCUGGUUCAUGAACACUGUCAAUAGUCAUGGAUAUGGGAUCCCCUAGUCAGCAAUAAGGAUGGGGUUAUGAAGGAACGGCAGCAAAAUGAGGGAGCAUUGUAUGAUAUUAUAACCUGUGAUUUAUAAUGCUAUAUGCUAUAAGCUAAUGAAUGUGAUGGAGAGCUGGUCCGGUUAUUCCCUGACGGCUGAAUAAGUUAAUUUGGGGGUCACUGGCCCUGAGGAUCGCCAACACAGACUCUGAUUCUGAGCUGAAAAUCCACAUUUUUACCCUCUGACUGAUAUCUGCCCACUUGGAGCCUCAGUUCCAGGUUUUCAGUCCUUCAUCUGUUUCUGGGGAUGUUCCGGCGUUAUCUUUUAGUUUAUCAUGACCUCAUCUUUGGUAAUGAUUCAGUCUAACAUUUUUACAAUCGUAAUCAUGAAACAUAAUCCUGAGUCAUUUUGUAAAUAAAAAUAAAGGCCUUUAUGCUUUUAAAUAAAGUUUAUCUGUAAACUUGUCAAAGUG